rnacentral:rRNA from 1 species
UUAGGAAUAUUCGUCAAUGGGGGAAACCCUGAACGAGCAAUGCCGCGUGAACGAUGAAGGCCCUAUGGGUUGUAAAGUUCUGUUGCAUGGGACGAACGAUUAGGAUAGGAAAUGAUCUUAAUGUGACGGUACCAUGCCAGAAAGCUCCGGCUAACUACGUGCCAGCAGCCGCGGUAAUACGUAGGGAGCAAGCGUUAUCCGGAUUUAUUGGGCGUAAAGGGUGCGUAGGCGGCUUGUUAAGUAUGAGAUUAAAGCCCGAGGCUUAACCUCGGUUCGUUUCAUAAACUGGCAGGCUUGAGUGUGGCAGAGGUAAACGGAAUUUCUAGUGUAGCGGUUAAAUGCGUAGAUAUUAGAAGGAACACCAGUGGCGAAGGCGGUUUACUGGGCCAUAACUGACGCUGAGGCACGAAAGCGUGGGGAGCAAAUAGG